GCGUAAUAGCUCACUGGUCGAGUCGGCCUGCGCGGAAGAUGUAACGGGGCUAAACCAUGCACCGAAGCUGCGGCAGCGACACUAUGUGUUGUUGGGUAGGGGAGCGUUCUGUAAGCCUGUGAAGGUGGCCUGUGAGGGUUGCUGGAGGUAUCAGAAGUGCGAAUGCUGACAUAAGUAACGAUAAAGCGGGUGAAAAGCCCGCUCGCCGGAAGACCAAGGGUUCCUGUCCAACGUUAAUCGGGGCAGGGUGAGUCGA
rnacentral:rRNA from 1 species